rnacentral:rRNA from 1 species
GAUGAACGCUGGCGGCGUGCCUAACACAUGCAAGUCGAACGGAGUUGUGCAUUGGAAGUUUUCGGACGGAAGAAGCAGAACUUAGUGGCGGACGGGUGAGUAACGCGUGGGUAACCUGCCGUAUACAGGGGGAUAACAGUUGGAAACAACUGCUAAUACCGCAUAAGCGCACACUGUCGCAUGACAGAGUGUGAAAAUUUCCGGAGGUAUACGAUGGACCCGCGUCUGAUUAGCCAGUUGGCAGGGUAACGGCCUACCAAAGCAACGAUCAGUAGCCGGCCUGAGAGGGUGGACGGCCACAUUGGGACUGAGACACGGCCCAA